UCAAAACUUUUCAGCUAGAGUAUGAUAGAGGAAAGCAGAAUUUCUAGUGUAGAGGUGAAAUUCGUAGAUAUUAGAAAGAAUACCAAUUGCGAAGGCAGCUUUCUGGAUCAUUACUGACACUGAGGAACGAAAGCAUGGGUAGCGAAGAGGAUUAGAUACCCUCGUAGUCCAUGCCGUAAACGAUGUGUGUUAGACGUUGGAAAUUUAUUUUCAGUGUCGCAGCGAAAGCGAUAAACACACCGCCUGGGGAGUACGACCGCAAGGUUAAAACUCAAAUGAAUUGACGGGGACCCGCACAAGUAGUGGAGCAUGUGGUUUAAUUCGAAGAUACGCGCAGAACCUUACCAACACUUGACAUGUUCGUCGCGACUCUAAGAGAUUAGAGUUUUCGGUUCGGCCGGACGAAACACAGGUGCUGCAUGGCUGUCGUCAGCUCGUGUCGUGAGAUGUUGGGUUAAGUCCCGCAACGAGCGCAACCCUCACUUUUAGUUGCCAUCAUUUAGUUGGGCACUCUGAAAGAACUGCCAGUGAUAAGCUGGAGGAAGGUGGGGAUGACGUCAAGUCCUCAUGGCCCUUACGUGUUGGGCUACACACGUGCUACAAUGGUAUCUACAACAGGAAGCAAGACGGCGACGUUAAGCAAAUCCUUAAAAGAUACCUCAGUUCGGAUUGCACUCUGCAACUCGAGUGCAUGAAGCUGGAAUUACUAGUAAUCGUGGAUCAGCGUGCCACGGUGAAUGCGUUCCCGGGUCUUGUACACACCGCCCGUCACACCAUGGGAGUUGGUUCUACCUUAAGGCAAGGUUUCAAACCCUUGACCACGGUAUAGUCAGCGACUGGGGUGAAGUCGUAACAAGGUAACCGUA
rnacentral:rRNA from 1 species